rnacentral:rRNA from 1 species
UUUUAUGGAGAGUUUGAUCCUGGCUCAGGAUGAACGCUGGCGGCGUGCCUAAUACAUGCAAGUCGAGCGAACGGACGAGAAGCUUGCUUCUCUGAUGUUAGCGGCGGACGGGUGAGUAACACGUGGAUAACCUACCUAUAAGACUGGGAUAACUUCGGGAAACCGGAGCUAAUACCGGAUAAUAUUUUGAACCGCAUGGUUCAAAAGUGAAAGACGGUCUUGCUGUCACUUAUAGAUGGAUCCGCGCUGCAUUAGCUAGUUGGUAAGGUAACGGCUUACCAAGGCAACGAUGCAUAGCCGACCUGAGAGGGUGAUCGGCCACACUGGAACUGAGACACGGUCCAGACUCCUACGGGAG